rnacentral:rRNA from 1 species
GUCCACGCCGUAAACGAUGGAUGCUAGCCGUCGGCAAGCUUGCUUGUCGGUGGCGCAGCUAACGCAUUAAGCAUCCCGCCUGGGGAGUACGGCCGCAAGGUUAAAACUCAAAGGAAUUGACGGGGGCCCCGCACAAGCGGUGGAGCAUGUGGUUCAAUUCGACGCAACGCGAAGAACCUUACCAAGCCUUGACAUGUCCGGACGGUUUCCAGAAAUGGAUUCCUCCCAGCAAUGGGCCGGAACACAGGUGCUGCAUGGCUGUCGU